rnacentral:lncRNA from 1 species
GCAAUUACUGUGUCCUAUAUGGUAACCAGAUGUCUCAGAAUUCAUGACAUUCCAUUAUUUGGUCUUACAUGAUGCUCGUAUCUAGAUACUUCAAGGGUUUUGUUUGCAACAAUUUCUAUUUGUUUGCAUAGUCUGAAUUUUAAUUUAUCUUCUGUAAUCAUUUUAACAGGUAUGUUCUCUAGUUUUCACUUCAGUGUUUUUUAAAGUUAUUGUUGAUUGCUGUAUCUUGUGUUUCUUAUCUGUGGAUCUUAUUCUGUUAAUGACUUUGGUAGAUAAAUAACACCAUGUAAAUCGUAGUUGUUUAGAUGCUCAAAUCAAUUGUCUGACUGCAACUAAGCAAACAAAUUACCAUAAAAUCAUGCGCUGUUAAUCUCUUGGUUUUAUGCAUUGCAUCAGUGACCUCUUUUAUUCUGCUAAAUAGUUUUUGACAACAAAUAGUUCCUAAGAAUAAAACUUGCCUGUCUGCAUCAUGCUUUUUAAGCUCAUAAUUUCAGUCACUUCAACAACAGGAACUUUCAUAAUUAUUCUCUGAUUAUCCUGCUAUUGUAUUUAGGUUGGUUUAUUGAUGCCAUAUAUUGUGCAGUUUAUUCUGAGAUCACUACAGGAUUUUGUAUUGUGGAUUCUGAACCUCUGAUUUGCCUUAAAAGUAGCCACUUUGUGCAUAGUCAGUUCUUGUAAACCAUAUAUAUACAGGUUAAAUGCUCGAAGCAAAUUGGUUAAUUAUUGUACUGAUCUAGCCUCACAUUUGCUUUUUCUCAGGAUUUACAAUAAAAGACAUGGUAGAUGAUCUCACCACUUUUGUCUACUAAGUCACAGAUUGGCAUAGUCACCAAGCUCUUAGCUCUGUCAUCUAUGAUAACCACAAUAAUCAGAUGUUACUAUCAUUAAGUUUGGCUCUCUGACUUUUUAUGCUUCCUAUGUGUUUUGCUGCAUUUUUAAUUGAUGUUAACCUCUGAAGCAUGGAAAGCUGAUUCCUUACAUUCAUCUCAUGUUAUGAAGGAUCUGUCUUGUCAUUAGUUCAUAAUACUGUUCUUGUGAUGUUGGAUGCUUGACAGACUAUAUACAUUGGGUGUCUUUUCAUUGACAUUAAAAGGUUGGUUGACACAAGUAUGUCAUCCUUUGUUUCAGGAACAUGAAAAGCCUAAAAAAUUCUGAAGUAAAUAUUACACUUAAACAUUCAUCUUUAUCUAUUGCUUUCAGUUUGUUUCAGUCUUUAAAUCAAGUCAAGAAGGGUAGCCACAGUUUUUGAUAGUAUAGUUAAUUUACAUGGUUAAUGCCACCAUCUUCAAGACAGGUAAUAAUUUAAGCUUUCGAUGCCGCUGGUGUGAAGACAACAUAAGCUUGUGGUUUCAAUUCCUAUAUUAGCUGUUGGUGAGCACUCCUCUUCAAUCAUAUGAACAGUCUUCAUCCAUGUGUUAGUCUUUAUUGCCUCAUUGCACAUGAUCAUUAUUUUGAGCUGUUUGAAGCCAUCAAUUCUACUCAUUAUGAUUGGUUGGUCCUAUAUAUGAAAUGCCAUACUCUGACAAUUCCCUUACUAUUUAAAAUGAUGGAGACAACAUUUUAUUUGGUUCCUCAGAGACAUGAUUUAAUCUGUGUUUUUUGUUUGACCAGCUCUUUCUUUGUGGAUCUUUAAGUGCUUGGACGUCUGCCAUAAAGGUUUGUGAUUUGUCAAUUUGACUUCUAGGUUGUCUUAGUGGUGACAGGUGAUGGCACUGACAUAUCUUAGGGCCUACAAGCACCAAUAAUACUGGACGAUUCAGCAAUAAAAAGUGAUGCUUAGGCUUCACCACACCUAUUUGGUGGCAAUCAGAUUAGGUCCAUGCAUAGAUUAAAAGUUUGAGAACUUAAUAAUAUGUCAAUGGAUAAUUCUGGACUUUUAGUUUUACUAAAUGAGCAGAAUCACACCCUAAAAACACUGGCCAGUUUGAAAUAAGGUGAUGAUCAUCAUGUCACUUUGUUGAUUUCUUUGUCUCUGUAGCAACUUCAUUCACCAGCAUUUUGCAGGAUUAUACCUCAAUUUGAUUUCUAUCACACACUGCUCCCCAUCUUAACUGAUGAAUUGUGGCCAUUGUUCUUUCUAAAGAAAGUAGCACUUGAAUGAUGCAUGCAUCUAUGACAGACACCACUUUCAUUUAAAAAACUGAGUGAAACUUGGAUCUCUUAGAUGGUUUGUGGGGGGCCAAAAGUGGCACUGUCAAUCCAACAAGUGUUAUACAUAAUUAGUAAAACUAUUCAAUGCAGAAUCCCCUAUGUUUUCUUCUUUUUUCUUACAAAGGUCAAUUGCCAUCAUAUGUUGGGACCCUUGCACAUCCCAUCAUUCAUGAAGGAAAUCCUACAGCACUCCGGUCUCCAUGCCAUUUGAAGAACCAACAGUAGGAUAGCCUGUGGAUUACUAGUAUGAAACAAAGGUAAGAAAAUCCAACUCAUAAGAAUGUUAUUCCUGCUUGAUAGGAAGAAGGGGGCGACAGGGGUAAAGAUGGGGCCAUUGCAAUGAGAAUGAUCCAAAGUAAACUUUGAGGCAUGUCUGUCAUUCUUGAGCACUUGCGUAUUAUUAGGACAAUGUGCUUUGGUACGGAAGGAGACAAAAUCCAAGAAAUUGGGGAAUUAGGUAUCAUCUUUCCUUUUCUAUUAAUGCCGAUGGACAUGACAGCUCUUGAGGACUAAGGCACUCCCAAAACUAAAUUGCUGAUGUACAGAUAUGAGCGUGCACAUGCUCAAUUUCUUGUAGGGAAACUGUGUCAAGAAUAAAGGUCGUAUAUGCAGAUGAUAAUUCUUCGACCAUAAUUUUGCUAGUAACCAAAAGAGGGAGAAGAGAAAGAAAUUGUUUAGUUCUGCUAUAUUGAAAAGUGAAAAAGGUACAAAGAUUCUACACCACAUUGCUCUUCUUCUUUUCCUGAAAUCUUCCAGUCUUUGGAAGGUGGUAUUCUUAAUCAUGCAUCAGUUGCUAUCCCAGUUGCUUUCAUAUUUUCAGAGAAACACUUUGGUGACCUCAUUUCAUGAUCUUAGGACUCAUCCAUUGAGAGUAAAAGCUCCUUUUGGCAGUACUCCCUACUAAUUGAUGGACUACUUGUAGAAACAAUGUGGACCACCUUCUAAUGUUGGCUUAUUCACCCUUCAAGACAAAGAGAUAAGGUCUGGGGCUCACAGCCUUGUGUAGUGAUCAUAGUAGGACAACAUUAUCUUUGCUACAUUGGUCUUCCUUGAUACCCAAGCAGGACAUGCCAAUAUGCUACUUCACUGUCCCUUAGCUGUAACCAAAUUGAUGUUUCACUAGUAUCCUCAUAGACUACCACCAUCAUCACCCCUUGCACGAUUAAAUUGAUGUUUCACAGAUAUUCCAUGGCUGGCUGUAGUGAUAAGGUCUGUGAUUCACAAUGUUUUUUUAUUUAGGAAAUGUUUUCUUAUUCUCUUGAUACACUUGCACUCACCAGGAAACAUCGGCAAAGGCAAGGUCAACUUCAUUGGAUCACUAGCAUGGAAUAUUUGCUGCAAACAAGUGCAAGUAUAAAAUGAAGAUACUCUUAGUUUGAUGCUUAAUGAUGGAUACAAUGUAUGGAAUAUUUGCUGCUAUAGGGGUUCACAGAUUGACAUUAUUUUAGUGCUAGUCAAAGCCACCACAUAUUUUUCUCUUUUGUCAAAACAUUGAUCUCAUCUUUGUUAUUGGCAAAGCCAACCUUGACUUGACUAAACAAGCAAACCAAAUCUAUAUUGAACUAUUGUGCCCAGGAAUUACUUUAUAUUUGCUUGUGUACUUCUCUUCAAAGAUCUGUGACUAACAACUAUUAUACUACAGUUGAUGUUGGUGAUUCACUAAACUUGAGUGGUAGAAGAAGCAUCAUGUACUGUUGCUGUUCAUGGACUCUGCGUCAAAUGUGCCUCCUUGUUCGAUGAAGAACACGAAUCCUCGGGCAUAUCAUUGGAACUGUAUUUUUCAUCUGCACUCACCAGGAAAUGUUUUCUUAUUCUCUUGAUACACUUGCACUCACCAGGAAACAUCGGCAAAGGCAAGGUCAGCUUCAUUGGAUCACUAGCAUGGAAUAUUUGCUGCAAACAAGUGCAAGUAUAAAAUGAAGAUACUCUUAGUUUGAUGCUUAAUGAUGGAUACAAUGUAUGGAAUAUUUGCUGCUAUAGGGGUUCACAGAUUGACAUUAUUUUAGUGCUAGUCAAAGCCACCACAUAUUUUUCUCUUUUGUCAAAACAUUGAUCUCAUCUUUGUUGUUGGCAAAGCCAACCUUGACUUGACUAAACAAGCAAACCAAAUCUAUAUUGAACUAUUGUGCCCAGGAAUUACUUUAUAUUUGCUUGUGUACUUCUCUUCAAAGAUCUGUGACUAACAACUAUUAUACUACAGUUGAUGUUGGUGAUUCACUAAACUUGAGUGGUAGAAGAAGCAUCAUGUACUGUUGCUGUUCAUGGACUCUGCGUCAAAUGUGCCUCCUUGUUCGAUGAAGAACACGAAUCCUCGGGCAUAUCAUUGGAACUGUAUUUUUCAUCUGUUGUGCCUCUGAUGGAUCAUCAACUGCAACAUUGAAACAAUGGUGUUUUGUUUGGCCUCUAUUCAUUAGCAGUGAAAAUUGGAUGAGAUGUCUGUGAUCAUUCAUCAACUGCUGAGAAACUGUUUAAGAUGAGAACACAUCGUCAAUUCAAGCAAUGCAUGGC